AUUGAACGCUGGCGGCAGGCCUAACACAUGCAAGUCGAACGAGCGGCGGACGGGUGAGUAAUGUCUGGGAAACUGCCUGAUGGAGGGGGAUAACUACUGGAAACGGUAGCUAAUACCGCAUACCCUCAGAUGUGCCCAGAUGGGAUUAGCUAGUAGGUGGGGUAACGGCUCACCUAGGCGAAGAUCCCUAGCUGGUCUGAGAGGAUGACCAGCCACACGGGAACUGAGACACGCGCCAGACUCCUACGGGAGGCAGCAGUGGGGAAUAUUGCACAAUGGGCGCAAGCCUGAUGCAGCCAUGCCGCGUGUGUGAAGAAGGCCUUCGGGUUGUAAAGCACUGUCAGCGGGGAGGCGUUACUCGCAGAAGAAGCACCGGCUAACUCCGUGCCAGCAGCCGCGGUAAUUC
rnacentral:rRNA from 1 species